rnacentral:tRNA from 1 species
GUAAGCAUAGUUUAAACAAAACAUUAGAUUGUGAAUCUAAAAACAGAAACUUAAUCUUUCUUGCUUACC